UACAGAGGUCCCAAGCGUUGUUCGGAUUCAUUGGGCGUAAAGGGUGCGUAGGCGGUUUCCUAAGUCUGGUGUGAAAUCUCGGAGCUCAACUCCGAAACUGCACUGGAUACUGGGAGACUUGAGUACUGGAGGGGAGACUGGAAUUUACGGUGUAGCAGUGAAAUGCGUAGAUAUCGGGAGGAACACCUGCGGUGUAGACGGCUUUCUGGACCAUUGUUGACGCUGAGACACGAAAGCGUGGGUAGCAAACAGG
rnacentral:rRNA from 1 species